UACAGAGGUCUCAAGCGUUGUUCGGAAUUACUGGGCGUAAAGGGCGCGUAGGCGGCCUGUUAAGUCGAACGUGAAAUCCCCGGGCUCAACCCGGGAACUGCGUCCGAUACUGGCAGGCUUGAAUCCGGGAGAGGGAUGCGGAAUUCCAGGUGUAGCGGUGAAAUGCGUAGAUAUCUGGAGGAACACCGGUGGCGAAGGCGGCAUCCUGGACCGGCAUUGACGCUGAGGCGCGAAAGCUGGGGGAGCAAACAGG
rnacentral:rRNA from 1 species